rnacentral:rRNA from 1 species
CUCCUAGGGAGGCAGCAGUGAGGAAUAUUGGUCAAUGGCCGAGAGGCUGAACCAGCCAAGUCGCGUGAGGGAAGAAUGUCCUAUGGAUUGUAAACCUCUUUUGUCAGGGAGCAAAGUCACCCACGUGUGGGUGUUGGAGAGUACCUGAAGAAAAAGCAUCGGCUAACUCCGUGCCAGCAGCCGCGGUAAUACGGAGGAUGCGAGCGUUAUCCGGAUUUAUUGGGUUUAAAGGGUGCGUAGGCGGAUUUUUAAGUCAGCGGUAAAAUGUCCGGGCUCAACCCGGGCCGGCCGUUGAAACUGGGGAU